GGGUUGUGAGGUUAAGCGACUAAGCGUACACGGUGGAUGCCCUGGCAGUCAGAGGCGAUGAAGGGCGUGCUAAUCUGCGAUAAGCGCCGGUAAGGUGAUAUGAACCGUUAUAACCGGCGAUACCCGAAUGGGGAAACCCAGUGUGAUUCGUCACACUAUCAUUAACUGAAUCCAUAGGUUAAUGAGGCGAACCGGGGGAACUGAAACAUCUAAGUACCCCGAGGAAAAGAAAUCAACCGAGAUUCCCCCAGUAGCGGCGAGCGAACGGGGAGGAGCCCAGAGCCUGAAUCAGCAUGUGUGUUAGUGGAAGCGUCUGGAAAGGCGCGCGAUACAGGGUGACAGCCCCGUACACAAAAGCGCAUGUGCUGUGAGCUCGAUGAGUAGGGCGGGACACGUGGUAUCCUGUCUGAAUAUGGGGGGACCAUCCUCCAAGGCUAAAUACUCCUGACUGACCGAUAGUGAACCAGUACCGUGAGGGAAAGGCGAAAAGAACCCCGGCGAGGGGAGUGAAAAAGAACCUGAAACCGUGUACGUACAAGCAGUGGGAGCACCCUUUGGGGUGUGACUGCGUACCUUUUGUAUAAUGGGUCAGCGACUUAUAUUCUGUAGCAAGGUUAACCGAAUAGGGGAGCCGGAGGGAAACCGAGUCUUAAU
rnacentral:rRNA from 2 species